UACAGAGGUCUCAAGCGUUGUUCGGAAUCACUGGGCGUAAAGCGUGCGUAGGCUGUUUCGUAAGUCGUGUGUGAAAGGCGCGGGCUCAACCCGCGGACGGCACAUGAUACUGCGAGACUAGAGUAAUGGAGGGGGGAACCGGAAUUCUCGGUGUAGCAGUGAAAUGCGUAGAUAUCGAGAGGAACACUCGUGGCGAAGGCGGGUUCCUGGACAUUAACUGACGCUGAGGCACGAAGGCCAGGGGAGCGAAAGGG
rnacentral:rRNA from 1 species